GGCCCAGCUCAGUAAGAGCCACCACAAACACACCAAGGCACAGUGCAAGAGCAAGGAGGAGGUGAUGGCCGUGCGGCUGCGCGAGGCCGACAGCAUGGCCGCCCUGGCUGAGAUGAGGCAGCGCGUGGCCGAGCUCGAGAUACAGCGGGAGGAGGGGCGGAUCCAGGGACC